rnacentral:snRNA from 1 species
ACUGGUUCUGGCCUUUUGGCUAAGAUCAAGUGUAGUAUCUCUUAUUAGAUUAAUUGGGGAGAACUCUUAAAGAAAAUUUUGAAGAGAAUUUUUGGAGAGAAACUUUU